GUAUAUGUAAAAUAAAUGUGACAUUUUUAUAUUUUAUUUAUUUCUAAUCAAAGAGUUUUUUAUCUUUUAACUGCAUUUUGAAGUCUGCCAUAUUUUUACAAGUGUGUUUAUUAAUUUAUUUUCCAAUAGAAUUUAAAUAUUAGAAAUGCUAUUCUCAAAUCACAUAUCUGGCUGGGUUUAAAGGAGGAGACAAAAAAUAUGAAGGAAAAUCCUUGUCUAAGGACUGCACUGUGGUCCAGUUUGAUUUUUAUUGCACACUCUACCCCCACCCCCAACCCCUUUCACGAGCUUUGUGUUUAUGACCGGGCUUGGGUAAAAUGUGUGGAGGGACACAAGAUAAAAGGCACUCACUCACAGGAUGUGUGCCCUACAGAAAGAAGCACAGUGGACUGAAAACCAGCCUGUUUCAAAUUUGUUAGCAAUAAUUAAAUAGAGCAAUCAGCAAAGUAUUCGACUUCGCUGUCUGGUUUCAGUUCAUAUGAAUUAUUUAUUUGAAAUUAUUUCAAGAAACAAGCUUUUUAGAGAUGCAAGUUUGUCUAUUUGUUUUUCAGGUUACACCAGAUAGCUGGCAGCUCUUACCCCAAGACGAGAAGUAAGACUCGAUGUGACUGGCCAGGCUUUCCUGCCACUUGUUGGUACAAUACACAAGGGACAGUGUUGUAGAUUUGUACUUAGCAAAUGUAAACGCACCCAAAUGGAAAACUGUGUAGAUACCAUAUCCCCCUGAAAUAGCAUUUAUCUUACUGGGUUGACUGGAAAGGAGUGGAAAAUACAGUCACACAAGCAAGAAGGGUACCCGGAUCUGAGUCAUUGCUUUAAACACUGGCAACAUUGUCUCAGCCUCCUGAGCUUUCGAUUUGGCAAAAGUCUUUCUGCAGACAGAGGCGUGCUGCAAAGUACACACACUCACCCACAGGCACACAGACACGCUCACCGACACGAGAUUGAGCCUUCGAUCUCGAGUUUCUGGAUGGAUCAGAGCAACAUGGAUGUGUAUGUGGACUGGAUGCCAUGGCGCUCGCAGGCUUGCUGUUUUCCACUGUUGUGACUGUUGCUGCACCAGUUGAAGCGCCGUGCGCAGUAAUUCCCCCCACCGUGACACUAGUCAUUGUUCUGUAUUAGGUGGGGCUUAUCUUUGGUUUGGCGUUCAUUGAAAUCCUUGACUCUUAGUCUAGUGAAAAUGAGAUGUCUGUUCUUAGGUAGGAGCGGUGAGUCUUUAAAAUCAACUUUAAGAAAAAAGAGCUAACGCGUGUGCUGUCUAUUAUAAACGGGACACCAAACGAAAUUUUCUAUUAAAGUUAUGUAUUUACAAACAUUUUGCUAUACAGUCCUCGAUAGAUGCAUACAAAUGAGUUCACUUAUUACAAAGACAAAGGUUUAAUUUGCUAAAUAUUUUAACGAGUUUGUUAUAUAUUUUAUUUAAUUUAAAAGAAAUCUCUUACCAACCUAUGUAUUUAUUACCAUAAUUUACUGCAAUUCAGGUUCGUUGAUUUGUGUUUGCGUAGUUUGAACAGGAUGGUUUUGUGAAGGAUGUUUGUUUUUAUUUGCCUCCUUUGUACUUGGUCUGUUUUGUAACGUGCACUGAAUUUUUGUUUCUUUCCAUGAUGUUAAUGAUCGAUACUGUAAAUUGGGUCUUUUGUAAACAAACAAACAAAAAGGCAAUGAUGUAUGCAUUUUUUUAAUUUGAAGUAGUUUGUAUACCGUUUCUUCAAACAAUUAAUAUUUCUUACAUCAAAGCAACCGAUUGUGUUCAGUGCUGUACAUUUGGUGUAUGGUAGGAAAUAAAAACGGAAAAGAAUUUCACUGUGGUCCUUCUCGAGCUACUAUAUAGAGAUGCUUGUGGCCAGCCCAUGAUAAACACUGUCCCCCUGCCCCAGGAGCUCAGUGGGGGAGGGGAGGGCACCUCUGAGCCUCUGCGUCACUUUGAUUCUAUGGGGUCCAUCAACCAGUCUGCUUGGCUUGAUUUCUCACCCCAAGUGGAGAGGACAUUUUGCCAGCUGCUAUGCCAUCCCAGCCUGGGUUCCAGUAAAUGCACAUACAGAAGGGCCAUUGCCUCCGAUGUCAGGAAACCUUUGCUGGAAAUUCACCUGCGUCUGGUGAGCAGUAAGAGAGAGGCCCCACCCUCCUAAUGCUAACCCUGCUUGAAGAGUAUCUCUGUGUAUUCCUACAAGCCAGCUGAACUCAGAUUAAAGGAAAAUUGUUAAUUCUUCACAGCACCUCUUUGUCUUGCAUAUUUUUCCUAUCUCGUUUCAAACAGCUUGAUUUAAUUUUCCAGUUUCUUGCUCACUUUUACACGUCUCUAGGUUGGUUGCCAUUUAUACUCAAUAUAGUU